rnacentral:rRNA from 1 species
CCGCGUGAAGGAAGAAGGCCUUCGGGUUGUAAACUUUUGUCUUUAGGGAAGAAAAAAAUGACGGUACCUAAGGAGGAAGCCACGGCUAACUACGUGCCAGCAGCCGCGGUAAUACGUAGGUGGCAAGCGUUAUCCGGAUUUACUGGGUGUAAAGGGAGCGUAGGCGGGACUUUAAGUCAGAUGUGAAAUGCUGGGGCUCAACCCCAGAGCUGCAUUUGAAACUGGAGUUCUUGAGUGUCGGAGAGGUAAGUGGAAUUCCUAGUGUAGCGGUGAAAUGCGUAGAUAUUAGGAGGAACACCAGUGGCGAAGGCGACUUACUGGACGAUAACUGACGCUGAGGCUCGAAAGUGCGGGGAGCAAACAGGAUUAGAUACCCUGGUAGUCCGCACUGUAAACGAUGGAUACUAGGUGUAGGAGGUAUCGACCCCUUCUGUGCCGCAGUUAACACAAUAAGUAUCCCACCUGGGGAGUACGAACGCAAGUUUGAAACUCAAAGGAAUUGACGGGGGCCCGCACAAGCAGUGGAGUAUGUGGUUUAAUUCGAAGCAACGCGAAGAAC